GCGGGCGUAGUUCAGUGGUAGAACGUCAGCUUCCCAAGCUGAAUGUCGGGAGUUCGACUCUCCUCGCCCGCUCCA
rnacentral:tRNA from 1 species